GCCUGACUAGCUCAGCCGGUAGAGCAUGAGACUUUUAAUCUCAGGGUCAUGGGUUCAAGUCCCAUGUUAGGCA